rnacentral:lncRNA from 1 species
AGCUCAAUCUCACACAAAAGAAAUGUUGUGCAAGCCAGCAGGAACAAUCAGAUUGCCAGGUCACUUUCCUGGAAAGGGGGCAUCUGGUUGACUCCACGCAUGGGGUAGUGGGUCAGAGAGUGACCCUGAGGGACGAAGCAAGGACAGGGCCCACACAGGUCCCAUCUGGGAUCACAGCUCUCCACUUAGGUAGCACUGCCAGCUCUGUCUGUUCCAAGCACCAGAAAGGCACUUAGAACAUUUUGAGAAAGUGACUCUAAUGUGUGUUUGUGGUGACCAGGGGUGGAGGGGCGGGGAGUUCUUCCAUAGGUGGACCAUAACUUGGAACCUAGGUACAAGGCAAUAUCACUUCCCGGC